GUGCUCACUUCUGCAGCACAUAUACUAAAACUGGAAUGAUUCAGAAUUAGCAUGGUCCCUGAGCAAGGAUGACGAAGUUGAAGGAUUUGAGCCCCUUAACCGU